GUGGGGAAUAUUGCACAAUGGGCGAAAGCCUGAUGCAGCGACGCCGCGUGAGCGAAGAAGUAUUUCGGUAUGUAAAGCUCUAUCAGCAGGGAAGAUAAUGACGGUACCUGACUAAGAAGCACCGGCUAAAUACGUGCCAGCAGCCGCGGUAAUACGUAUGGUGCAAGCGUUAUCCGGAUUUACUGGGUGUAAAGGGAGCGCAGGCGGUGCGGCAAGUCUGAUGUGAAAGCCCGGGGCUCAACCCCGGUACUGCAUUGGAAACUGUCGUACUAGAGUGUCGGAGGGGUAAGCGGAAUUCCUAGUGUAGCGGUGAAAUGCGUAGAUAUUAGGAGGAACACCAGUGGCGAAGGCGGCUUACUGGACGAUAACUGACGCUGAGGCUCGAAAGCGUGGGGAGCAAACAGGAUUAGAAACCCGAGUAGUCC
rnacentral:rRNA from 1 species